CUAUCCAUUGCACCCUACCUGCCUCUGACAUGAUUCGUUAAAGGCAAAUGAAGAUCUGGAAUCCAGAUUAAUUGUGGAACAAAGAACAAACUUCUUUUAAAUUUUCAGAUUUGUGAAGAGUUGGCAGCAGCAAUGUAUUAACAACUACUGGAGACAGAGGAAACUUAGAGGCAAGAAUAUGCAGAAAAGUGAUCCUGGCUCAACCAGGUAAGCACGGAGAAAGAAUUGGGAUACAGAGAGACAAGGAAGAGGAAGAGAAGGAGGAGGAGCAGGAGGAAGAGGAAGAAGAUCAUGGUGGUGAUGGCAACAAACUAAAGAUAGAAGAAUGUAGAGACAGAAUAAGAAACAGUCCCUCAGACUAAGAAGUUAUACAGACAGGCUCCUGUACUCAGUAAUCCUUGAAAGCACUCAUGCGAGUCACCUUUGCUCCAAGUGCAUUUUUGCAAACAGCUCUGUGAACCUCACUAGAGCAGUACUAUAUCAUCUCAUUGCAAAAAAGACUUUAAGAGAAGGGAGAUCUCUCAUACAGGAACUAGUCAGGACUUCUAAUUCUACCAUAAUAUUAAAGAUUCCACUUUGAAUCGUGUCUGGAAUGUUCUUCAAAGUAAAUAUAUGAAGGAAAACUUAGAGGAAAUGGUGGUCUGGUAUCAUGUUGGCAGAAAUAUUAUCGUUUUCUUCUGAUAUAGAAUCUGGAGUCUUUGGAAUAAGAACUUUUCCCUUUGGGGAAUGCUUUGGCAUCCCCAGCACUGAUUCCAGAAAUGAAUCACAGAUCUAGAGACCUCAAUAUUCUUCUAGUCCAAUCCCCUCAUUUUAAAGAUAAAGAAAAUUAGGUCUAGGAAGGCUCAGGGACUUGACCGAAGUCACACAGGUAAUGUCAGCAGUGGGAUUUCAACCCAGUCCUUUCACUCCAGAGUUAGUGCUUUUUCAACUGUACUUUACUCCUUUGUACAUGUGCAAAAAUAUGAGUGAGAUAGAACACUGGAUGAAAGUUGACAAGGAAGUUCCUAUCUGAGCCAUUAUUGCUGUGGUGCAGAAAUCACCAAUCAUGUUUUGAAUGGUGCUGGCAAAUCAAAGAACCCAGAGAGCAAGAAUAAAGAAGCAGAACAUUUCUUAAAGCCAAAGGAGAUUUGACCUUUGACUUGCUAAACAGUCUUGUAGAAAUAGAGGCAUAUUCUGUUGCCCAAGAGAUUAAAAAGCUGAUUUUUCUCUUCCUUUAAUGAAAAAAGGCAAGUGAGCAAAAAUCAAUGUGAUGUGGAAAAAUUCUUAAAAAAAAGAAAUCAGGUUUCAAGACUGCUGCUAACAUCAGUGUCCAUUCAACCCUCUUCUAUCUAUGUGUACACAUUACAAUAAGAUGAUAACUCCAAAUAAUCGAUCAAAGGUUAAAUUAUGCUCAACAUAUUCUGCUUAAACGGCAAGGUAAGUCUAUAGCUAAUUUUAGAAAGGAUUCCAACACAAAUAAGUUUAAAGUUCUAACUCUUAAAGGGUUAUCCUUCAGCUAAUUAGAAAAUCUUGGUAUCGAGAACAACUCAAUCCUUCUCAAGUUCUACAUAAUUGCAUCUUAGUGUAUGAUUUUUAUUGCUACAAUUCCAAACCUAAGCAGUUGCCUUAUUUAUCUUUAGCAGAAUGGGAAAGCUGCUGGUAGUCCCAGAAUCUCAGAGCUGGAAGGGUCCUCAAAGGCCACUCAGUCCAAUCUGUGCCUGAACAAGAAUUCCCUUCAUAAUAUACUGGUCUCCAACAAAAUCUUCUAAUUCUCUUCUCUUCUACUGCGUGUUGUAGUUCAUUUUCCUUUCCCACACAUGCUAGGAAGCAAAACAACAUAUCAAAGAAUGAACACAACUGAGUGGAUAACAAAUAAACUUA